UACGGGGGGGGCAAGCGUUGUUCGGAAUUACUGGGCGUAAAGGGCUCGUAGGUGGCCAACUAAGUCGGACGUGAAAUCCCUCAGCUUAACUGGGGAACUGCGUCCGAUACUGGAUGGCUUGAGUUUGGGAGAGGGAUGCGGAAUUCCAGGUGUAGCGGUGAAAUGCGUAGAUAUCUGGAGGAACACCGGUGGCGAAGGCGGCAUCCUGGACCAACACUGACACUGAGGAGCGAAAGCCAGGGGAGACAAAGCGGG
rnacentral:rRNA from 1 species